AUUGAACGCUGGCGGCAUGCUUUACACAUGCAAGUCGAGCGGUAACAGGCCUUCGGGUGCUGACGAGUGGCGAACGGGCGAGUAAUGCAUCGGAACGUACCCAGAGGUUGGGUAUAACGCAGCUAAAGCUGUGCUAAUACCGCAUGUGAUCUGAGGUUGAAAUCGGGGGAGGGGGCAGGAAAGUUUGGCCUCGCGGCGUUGGAGUGGCCGAUGUUGGUUUAGCUAGUGGGGGGGGGAAAGGCCUAGGCAGUCGCCGGUCGGUAGCUGGUCUGGGAGGACGACCGGCCACCCUGGAACUGAGCCACGCACCAGGGGCCUACGGGACGGACCAGUGGGCAAUGUUAGACAGUGGGCGCAAGCCUGAUCCAGCAAUGCCGCGUGCGGGAAGGCGGCCUUCGGGUUGUGAACAGGUUUUGGCAGUUACGAAACGGUGUCCGCUAAUACCGGGCGCUAAUGACGGUAACUGCAGAAUAAGCACCGGCUAACUACGUG
rnacentral:rRNA from 1 species